CGGGGCCUACGGGGGGCAGCAGUGAGGAAUAUUGGUCAAUGGGCGCAAGCCUGACCCAGCAACGCCGCGUGAAGGAAGAAGGCUUUCGGGUUGUAAACUUCUUUUCUCAGGGACGAAGCAAUUGACGGUACCUGAGGAAUAAGCCACGGCUAACUACGUGCCAGCAGCCGCGAUAAUACGUAGGUGGCAAGCGUUAUCCGGAUUUCCUGGGUGUAAAGGGCGUGUAGGCGGGG
rnacentral:rRNA from 1 species